rnacentral:rRNA from 1 species
UAGUCUACGCCGUAAACGAUGUGCACUUGGUGGUUGUCCUUAAGGAUGGCUGCCGUAGUUAACGCGUUAAGUGCACCGCCUGGGGAGUAUGCCGGCAACGGUGAAACUCAAAGGAAUUGACGGGGCCCGCACAAGCGGUGGAGCAUGUGGUUUAAUUCGAUGAUACGCGAGGAACCUUACCAGGGCUUGACAUAUACAGGAAUGCAUUAGAGAUAGUGCAGCCGCUUGCGGCCUGUAUACAGGUGCUGCAUGGUUGUCGUCAGCUCGUGCCGUGAGGUGUUGGGUUAAGUCCCGCAACGAGCGCAACCCUUGUUGUCUGUUGCCAGCGAGUAAUGUCGGGGACUCUGAAGAGACUGCCGGUGUUAAACCGGAGGAAGGUGGGGGAUGACGUCAAGUCCUCAUGGGCCUUUAUGCCUAGGGGCUGCACACGUCCUACAAUGCAACGGGACAAAGCGA